rnacentral:rRNA from 1 species
GUCUAUGGCCAUACCACCCUGAAAGUGUCUGACCUCGUCUGAUCUCAGAAGCUAAGCAGGGUCAGGCCUGGUUAGUACUUGGAUGGGACAGAAGUUGAAAAAACCCAUGUUUGGGGGGAAUAGGAAGAUCAGGAUU